UUAUUCAGAAACAAAUCUGAAAUUUAGAGAGAGAAUCAGAGCUAUUUGUAGAGAGAGAAAGCUCUGGCGACCACUCCGUCUUUGUAGAGAUCGAAGUUUAGUUGCAGCAUAUUGUUGGUUGUGAAAAUGAAAAAGUGCAAAUCUGUCAUUUUCAGUUUGAUAUUGUUGAUUUGUCGAAAAAGGUUAGUUGUUUGAACGACCCAUCCCUUCCCCUGCCGCUGCUAUAAACACCACACACACACACAUGCUUGAACGGUGACCACCGAUACUAACAUCAAUCACCACUAAAACUACCACCCAAUCUACCCACCACAAUCAUCAAACCACCACCCACACCCAGUAAAUAAGAUCGACAGAGGUGGUUUUAGAGUUGUUUACGAAGGGGUUCUAAGAGAUGGUUCUCAGGUGGCCUCAAGCCUCUUUCUGCUAUAUAUAAAAAAAGGUACCAUCGAAUUCUUGACCAUUAAUCAAUGUAUUAUAAUUAUCUUUAUUCGGAUCAAACUCGUUCUUUACAAUCUGAUAAAAAAAAAGUUGACUACUUGAUAGAGCUUACCAUAACUACAUAGCCCUCGGAUAAUCGGAUUCAAGAUCUGGGGAUGUAACAGGUAACCCAGGUUUAUAACAUUCCCUAAUGCAAAAACCCCAAAGCCCAGUUCACUGGAAUGACACAAACAGUUUAUUACAAUGCUAAACACAAAUCAAUCAGGUUUCACCAAAAGGGUUAACACCCAAGAAGCCUAAUUGAUGAACCAUAGAGAUACAAGGGGAUUUUGGUUUUGUUGCAGCUUUAAAUCAUUGAAGAAGGGAAAGUGUUAGGGUUGAGAGGGAAAUUACCAUUUUACCCUCAUGUGCAUUGCACAUGACAGUUUUUAACUGAGAUUUCAAACCAGGUUUGGCCUAAAGGACAAAACGUGCAAGAUUUUGAAAGACUAAGGACACCGCCUGUAAACUUUUGGCCAAAAGGACAACGCCUGUAAUUUGAUGUAAACAUAAAGGACAAAACUUGUAAUUUACUCAUUUUUUUAUGUUUAAGUUUAAGUUGUUUAAGUAUUUAACCAAUGCUAGAAGAAAUUAUUAAUUUUAUUCUUA
rnacentral:lncRNA from 1 species